AAUCAACAAUGUCACGCAGUGAAAUUCUACUCUUCUGGAGUGAUGAGUUUCCACAGUAUAACUGGAGUAUUCAUUCUUUUGAAAACAAGAAUAGGUACUGGAAGCUGACAAAACACAGCAAGGAGGUUGGUGUUGCAGAGUUAUGGCAGCAGUUCAGAAUGAAUGAAUGGUCCAGGAAGACUGUUGGGUUACAGGGCAAUGUGGCAAGUUAUUCGGGAUCGCUACCAUCUUCGAAUUACUAG